GACGUAGGGCGCGAGCGUUUGUCCGGAUUUAUUGGGCGUAAAGAGCUCGUAGGCGGCUUGUUGCGUCGACCGUGAAAACCCGGGGCUCAACUUCGGGCUUGCGGUCGAUACGGGCGGGCUAGAGUUCGGUAGGGGAGACUGGAAUUCCUGGUGUAGCGGUGGAAUGCGCAGAUAUCAGGAGGAACACCGAUGGCGAAGGCAGCUCGCUGGGACGGUACUGACGCUGAGGCGCGAAAGCGUGGGGAGCGAACAGG
rnacentral:rRNA from 1 species